UGUAGUUGUAUAGUCUGUUAGUAACUCCACUCACUACUUGUAGUUGUAUAGUCUGUUAGUAACUCCACUCACUACUUGUAGCUGUAUAGUCUGUUAGUAACUCCACUCACUACUUGUAGUUGUAUAGUCUGUUAGUAACUCCGCUCACUACUUGUAGCAGUAUAGUCUGUUAGUAACUCCACUCACUACUUGUAGCUGUAUAGUCCGUUUGUAAAGUGUUUUUGUUCUUGGCUAGCUUAAGGUCUACUAUACCUGUUGUAUUCAGCAUUUCACUGUGAGGUCUACUAUACCUGUUGUAUUCAGCAUUUCACUGUAAGGUCUACUACACCUGUUGUAUUCAGCAUUUCACUGUGAGAUCUACUACACCAAAUGUAUUCAGCAUUUCACUGUGAGGUCUACACCUGUUGUAUUCAGCAUUUCACUGUGAGGUCUACUACACCUGUUGUAUUCAGCAUUUCACGGUGAGGUCUACUACACCUGUUGUAUUCAGCAUUUCACUGUGAGGUCUACACCUGUUGUAUUCAGCAUUUCACUGUGAGGUCUACUACACCUGUUGUAUUCAGCAUUUCACUGUGAGGUCUACUACACCUGUUAUAUUCAGCAUUUCACGGUAAGGUCUACUACACCUGUUGUAUUCAGCAUUUCACUGUAAGGUCUACUACACCUGUUGUAUUCAGCAUUACACUGUGAGGUCUACUACACCUGUUGUAUUCAGCAUUUCACUGUGAGGUCUACUACACCUGUUGUAUUCAGCAUUUCACUGUGAGGUCUACUACACCUGUUGUAUUCAGCAUUUCACGGUAACGUCUACUACACCUGUUGUAUUCGGCGCAUGUGACAAAUAAAAUGUGAUUUUGAUUUUAAUGUUCCGGUCAGUAGCUAGCUAGCACUCACUCACUCACGUGGCUGCAAGCACCGUCAUGAAAAGGGGCAUGAGGGAAGCCCUACAAUAUUAGCUUUUUUCUAAGCAUUUAGAAUGUUGAAAAGUGAUCUUCAGACAUGUUGCACUUUUCAUAAAUGUAGUUUUGUAAUUGACUAAAACGAACAAACAAUGAGAAUAUUGUGUUUAAAAAAGGCCAAAUAUUUGCUGUGAGCCAAUGGGGUAACCUAGGUGACCAAAUUUU
rnacentral:lncRNA from 1 species